GCCGGUGUAGCUCAGUUGGUAGAGCAGCUGACUUGUAAUCAGCAGGUCCCCAGUUCGAGUCUGGGUGCCGGCU
rnacentral:tRNA from 1 species